rnacentral:lncRNA from 10 species
UGGGACGCAACUAGAGAUUCCCAGGCCAGGGCUCUCGCUUUUGCCCCAGAAGGAUUCCUCUGCCAUGGUGAAAUCAAGGCAGGCACCUUGUCCCUUCAGGCCCUUGUUUUUGCCCUGUGUAAAUUCUGUCCCUCGGCAGGGGACCCCAUCUGUCUCAUCAUCCCUAGUCACUUGCAUCCAAGUGAAAAGGCUCUUGAGGGAGGAAAUUAGAGUCUGGUGUGUGGCAGGAUUUCCGGUACCCGAGGGCAACAGGAAGCUAACAGGGAAGGUUGGGGUUACCUAAGGCGAGCUGCACCUGCUUCCCAUGAUGCCAGGGGCCAGCCCCACUGCAUCCUCCCUCCAGAAUCCCACAGGAUCCCCACCAGGCAGUGGGCACUAUUGUAAGCCUCACAUCAACUAAUAUUCAGAAGGAUUAAGUAACCACAGAGCCACGAAGUGGCAGAGGCAAGAUUUGAACCCAGGUCUGUCAGACUCCAGAGCCCAGCAGAGCAAGACCAGCGCUCAUGACCUGCCAGGCUCUCCAAAAGACCCACGAUGUCAGUAAAUCUGAUCAGAAAAAGUCUGGAUUUGUGAAGCUCAGACAGCAGGAAGUGACUCCUCACAUUGCGAAGGACUCAUCCUGCCACUAAGUAGCUGUGUGCCUGUGAGCAAGUCCCCAGGCCCUUCUGGGUCUCUGCAAAAUGAGUUUGGAAACCUUUCCUAAAUGCUCGUGCACUUAACUUUCUUGGUUCCUUCAGAGGUGAAUAAAUACAGUGGAUGUUUCCCUGUUUCCUUGUGGUCCUCACUACCUGAUGGUGACUUAUGAGACAAGAUGGGUAUGUGCCCACUCCUCUCAGCUAUCUGCUCUGUGGUCCCUAAGCCUGUCUUCCCCCUCCAAUAGUUGUUCCCAAUCUGUUGUGGACCUUGAGCCAAGAUAGGACCCUGAUUCUGGUAGAAUUCCUCGUGAACCGAGAGUCAAUAAGCUAUUAAAGAAAUCCAAUAAACAGCCACAGAGUU